CCUACGGGUGGCAGCAGUGAGGAAUAUUGGUCAAUGGACGAGAGUCUGAACCAGCCAAGUAGCGUGAAGGAUGACUGCCCUAUGGGUUGUAAACUUCUUUUAUAUGGGAAUAAAACAGGGUAUGCAUACCCUCUUGUAUGUACCAUAUGAAUAAGGAUCGGCUAACUCCGUGCCAGCAGCCGCGGUAAUACGGAUGAUCCGAGCGUUAUCCGGAUUUCUUGGGUUUAAAUGGAGCUUAGGUGGAUUGUUAAGUCAGUUGUGAAAGUUUGCGGCUAAACCGUAAAAUUGCAGUUGAAACUGGCAGUAUUGAGGACAGUAGAGGUGGGCGGAAGUCGUGGGGUAGCGGUGAAAUGCUGAGAUAUCACGAAGAACUCCGAUUGCGAAGGCAGCUCACUGGACUGCAACGGACACUGAUGCUCGAAAGUGUGGGUAUCAAACAGGAUUAGAUACCCCAGGAGUA
rnacentral:rRNA from 1 species